rnacentral:rRNA from 1 species
GUGGGGAAUAUUGGGCAAUGGGGGAAACCCUGACCCAGCAACGCCGCGUGAAGGAAGAAGGUUUUCGGAUCGUAAACUUCUAUCCUUGGUGAAGAUAAUGACGGUAGCCAAGAAGGAAGCCCCGGCUAACUACGUGCCAGCAGCCGCGGUAAUACGUAGGGGGCAAUCGUUGUCCGGAAUGAUUGGGCGGAAAGGGCGCGUAGGCAGCCUGGUAAGUCUGGAGUGAAAGUCCUGCUUUUAAGGUGGGAAUUGCUUUGGAUACUGUCGGGCUUGAGUGCAGGAGAGGUAAGUGGAACUCCAGGUGUAGCGGUGAAAUGCGUAGAGAUCGGGAGGAACACCAGUGGCGAAGGCGGCUUACUGGACUGUAACUGACGCUGAGGCGCGAAAGUGUGGGGAGCAAACAGGAUUAGAUACCCCUGUAGUCC